AGUGCAUCUGACACAUCGUAGACGUGCAACAGAAGUAGUUUCUCUUUCUCUUCCUCCUCUUUCCCUUUUCUCUUAGUGGAUUAUGUCCAUUUUGCAUCCGGAGCACUUGGGAAAGUUGCUGGCACGCAGCGAGUGCUCGAGGAAUGCUUUUUGAAAGAACGAAGGAGAGAUCUGAUUUCCCCAGCUUGGAGUCUGUCAGAAUCACCGACGGCAUUCUCACUGUGGGACAGAAGUCACUGUGGGGUGUGGUAGACUGUGCCAUGGCCCUGCAAUGACGUCUGUGCCCUGACACCUGCCUGGAACCUAUGGAUAGGUUGUUACAUGACCGAAAGGGACUUGGCAGGCGAUUUGUUACACCAGAAAUAGACAACCAAUACCCAGAGCCUCCAGAGUAUGGACGCUGACCUACCAAGCCCUUUGGCUAAUAUGUACAUUCACCAAGCGUGCCGGAAGUGUCCCCUUCAUCACCAUUUGCAAAUGUCAACUGAGAGCUGGACACCAGGCUAGUGGUUCCCACGUUCCUCUCGUCCCUAAACAUCCAGAGCUCUUACUGUGUGGUCACCCAGCCCCAUAGCCAUUAGGCCUUGGCCCCUAGGGGACCCAUCAGGGUAAAUUAAAACUAAAACAUUU